UACGUAGGGUGCGAGCGUUGUCCGGAAUUACUGGGCGUAAAGAGCUCGUAGGUGGUUUGUCGCGUUGUUCGUGAAAACUCACAGCUUAACUGUGGGCGUGCGGGCGAUACGGGCAGACUGGAGUACUGCAGGGGAGACUGGAAUUCCUGGUGUAGCGGUGGAAUGCGCAGAUAUCAGGAGGAACACCGGUGGCAAAGGCGGGGUCUCUGGGCAGUAACUGACGCUGAGGAGCGAAAGCGUGGGGGAGCGAACAGG
rnacentral:rRNA from 1 species